rnacentral:rRNA from 1 species
AGACGGGGGGGGCGAGCGUUGUUCGGAUUUACUGGGCGUAAAGCGCGCGUAGGCGGUAUAUCAAGUUAGGCGUGAAAGCCCCGGGCUCAACCCGGGAACUGCGCUUAUUACUGAUAAACUAGAGUCCGGGAGAGGGUGGCGGAAUUCCCAGUGUAGAGGUGAAAUUCGUAGAUAUUGGGAAGAACACCAGUUGCGAAGGCGGCCACCUGGACCGGUACUGACGCUGAGGUGCGAAAGCGUGGGGAGCAAACAGGAUUAGAAACCCCAGUAGUCC